AGCAGGCUCACAGCAGAGGAGCCUGAUGUGGGGCUCAAUCCCAUAACGCCGGCAUCACGCCCUGAGCCGAAGGCAGAUGCUUAACCGCUGUGCCACCCAGGCGCCCCUGUUCCAGAAUUUUUUAUCAACUCAGGCAGAAGCUCUGUACCACUAAGUGAUGAUUCCUUACCCCCUCCUCCCCACAGCACCUGGUCACCCCUAACCUACCUUCUGCCUCUAUGAAUGUGUCUGUUCUAGAUAUUUCAUGUAAGUGGUAUCAUAUGGUAUUUUUCCUUUUGUGUCUUGUUUGUUUCACUUCACAUAAUGUUGUCAAGGUCCAUUUGUGUUAUAGCAUGUCUGAGGACUUUCUUCCCUUUUAUGGCUUACUAGCAUCCCACUGCAUGCACAUGUUACAUUUUUAUCCAUUUAUCUGUCGACGGACACUUGGGUUGCUUCCAACCCUUGACUAUUGUGAAUAAGGCUGCUGUGAACAUUGGCAUACAAGUGUUUGAGGCCCUGUUUUCAAUUCUUUGGGUUAUAUACCUAGGAGUGGAAUUGAUGGGUGGUACGGCGAUUCUAGUUUAACUCUUCGAAGAACCACCUAACUCUUUUCCACAGUACCUGCACCAAUUUCACAUUUCCACCAGCAAUGUACAAGGGCUUCCGUCUCUCCACAUCUUCACCAACACUUGUUAUUUUCCGUGUUUGGAUUAUAUUCCAGUUGUUGUGAAAUGUUUUCUGUGUCUUCGAUGCGCAUUUCACUAAUGACGAAUGAUGGAGCAUCUUUUCAUGUGCUUUGGAUCAUUUGUUUGUCUUCUUGGGGGAAAUGUCUCUUCGAGUCCUUUGUCCAUUUUUUAAUUGGAUUGUUUAUCUUUGUUGAGUUGUAAGAGCUCUUAAGCUAUUCUAGAUAUUAAAUCCUUAUCAGACAUAUGACCUGCAAAUAUUUUCUCCCAUUCCAUGGGUUGUCUCUUCACUCUCUUGAUAAUAUAGUCUGUUUUUUUUUUAAGCAAUAUCUUCAGUUCUUUUUGGGUGGGGGUAUUUUUUUUUAAAGUAAUCUCUAUACCAGAGUGGGGCUACAAUAUCUCCAAGUCUUAAUGGAAGGAGGAAGUCAUCCUUGGGAAUGAAGAAAAAUGCAAGGAAGAGAUCGUGGGAACAAAGUGGAGACAAACAGUGGAGUUAGAAUACAUGCAUGCCUGCAUGAAACAGCUGUCUCCUUCCCCAGAGCCACAAACUUCUCAGAGGAUCUGAAGCCCUCUCUACUUCAUCUUAUCUAGUUUGCCGGAGAUGAAUGAUAGAAAUUUAGAGCACGUAUUUCAAGAGUCAUAUAAACCUGUGCCAGAAGCCAGGUCAGCCAAGCUUACUAGCUGAGGACCUGAGAGGAGGUAUCUAGUCUGUCUGAGUUCAGUUUCUUCACCCUGGAACAAUUCAGUGAGAUAAUAUAAAGAAGGCAUUUAGUGUACCUGGCACACAGUAGGAACUCAGUAAAGGGUAGCUGUGAAUACCAUUGUGUUACAUCACCGUCUAGCCCUGAGUCUUUCUGGCACCUUCUUAGCUCUCCAUUUGACCUAGAAGACUGCAACUGAUCUUUGUGCCCGACAGCUGCCUUGAACACCUCCCUUCUCUGUUGGUUGUUUACGUCACUCACUUUGUCAGGUUGGAGCUUUAGUACUUACCUUUGAAGUACCUACGUGUAUUUUCAUAUUCUGGUGCCCCUUAUGUUCUGCUUAUUACUUUCCGGGGGAUGUGAGGGUUAGGGGGUGAGUCUGUUUGCUGUCUUUCUUUUUGUACAUUUUCCCAGAUUUCCUGAAGAACAGAAAGGGUGGAGUCCUGCAUACUUUGCUUUGUUACCUGUAGGAUUUGGCUCCUAAUUAAAAUGAAGGCAUUGAGUGUCAAAGGGCUAGGCAGUGUUCUAUAUGGAACUCAGAUUAUGAAUGAGAACAAGUAUGUAAAAAUUAGAGUUCAAGGCAGAAAAUGAUUAGUAGUAUGAAAAAGACACAAGCAAAAUGUUAUAGGCUUAUACAAGGAAAUAUUUAUAUAUGGUCAAAUGAUUCAUAAACGGCUUCAUGGAGGGGGUGCCUGCCCGGCUCAGUCAGUAGAGCGUGUGUGUUGAUCUCGGGGUUGUGAGUUUGAGCCCCACAUUGGGUGGAGAGAUUACUUAAAACAAAAUCUUAAAAAAAAAAAAGUCUUCAUGGAAAAGGAAGAAGUUGAAAGAGUAAGAUAGAUUGGUUUUCACUGAGAGGAUACAAGAUUAGUGCUCCAAGUAUAAGGAGGAAUAUCAGCAAAGACCCAAACGUAGAGUGUUACACAUGUUUUCUUACUUACUCCACCAACCAGUCUAUAGCAGGGCCUCUACCCUGUGCCCAUCCCUGGGAUCCAGACAUGUUUAGGUUUAAAUAUAUAUCGAAGGGUCUGGAUGUGUUGUCCUGUUCUCUUUGAGCUUUUCUUUAAUAUUUUCACUCUCUUUUAUCUCCUUGAGCUGCAUUCUGGAAGAUAUACUUUGUUUGACCCUUUGGUUCACUCACCCCCUCUUUAGGCAUGAAGAACCUGCAAUGGAGCUCAUCUACUGGAUAUUUUCUCUCCGUAACCGUGUCUUUCAUUUUAAUAUUUCUAGUUGAUUCUAAUUCUAGCAUGUUCUUGUUUCAAACUCUCUUGUUUUAUGGCUUUUUUACUUCUACCUAAACUUAUUUCUUGGAGGAGUUUGAGAAUAUCAUCCCUGGGGAAUUCCCCUUGCCCCCAGCGCUCAUAGGUACUGAACAAUACCUGUUUAUGAAUGGAUCAAAUUGAAAUAAAUGUCCCAAGAGCUAGAAGCUUCGUAGGGAGGGAGAACCAGGAACACGCCUCUCUCUUUCCACUUUCCAUCUUCUCAAAUAGCUACUAGAAAUUAUAUUCCUCUAGACAGUUGCUGGGAAGUCACUUCCCUUUUUCCUCCUCCCUUCGCCUUAAUAGAAAAUGCAGAGGACACAUCAACCAAGAACUGUUUGUCAUGAUCAAAAGUUUGUGAUGAAAUAUCAUCACAAAGCAGACCAAGACAACAAACCCACAAACCCACCGUGGCCAAGACUCUGGGCAUCCACAGGCUGUCAGUUGGAAGCUUAAUUAAGCAGUGGCACAAACCAGUAACAAGAAGUGAGUGUAAACUCCAUCUUUAACAUUUGAAAUCUGAGAUCAGUAAUCAGGUUAACGUUGUAAUUUGGAUUUAGAGGAGAUUUUAGCUUAAUAAUUCUAGUUUGAAACCUGAGCUUUGCUGGGAGGGCUAAGGAUGAGGAAUUGAGUUUCUUUAGGCCACAUUGAGAAGCCUUGAGUUUCUGUUUGAUUGCUGUUCCAUGUGGAAAAAAACAAGAUACGAAAGAGCCGGUUCUGAUGAGGAACAAAAUUCUGAUGAGGUGGGGAGAACAUUUAGGCCUGCUAAUGUGGGAGCAUCCUAUUAGAGGCCAGUGUCACAAAAAAAUAAGACCAACUGUUGCUCUGAUAAUUUCAUCAUUGCUAAUUAUAUAUUCCAUUUCUCCUUAUGCCCCAAAUGAUAUUUUACCUCGUAAAGUUUGUUUGUCUUCAGGUUGGAGUUGUUCCUUCUUUCAGAGAUAGGAUGUUUUGAAAUGAUCGUUGGUAAACUGGAACUUUGUCUGACAAGUUGAUAACACCAUGGAGUGAAUGGGAAGCCUCCAGAUGGUCCGUCUGCUUAGAGUUUCAUAGGUCACAUACUGUGUGAGGAACUCCCUCCUGCAGUCCUGCGUUUUGCUAACCAUAAACGGGUAGGUGUUAAAUGACAGUCUUAGGUCGUUUGUUUUCGUGUGUGUCCUUUGGAGGAAUCGUUCUAUCAAGAUGUCAUGGCAGGAAAAAAUAAACCUUCCUUUCUGUCAUCACCAGAAUCACUUUCAAGCUCUGUUCGCUGGAAAACCUAUUUUACAAGUAGACUUUCAUAGUGUUUUGGUGAAACCUUUUAUCCCAAAUGAAUCAGCAAAAACAUUUUCUAGAUCUUGUUAGCCCCACAAAUCAAAGCUGCUAAUGCUGUUCCAAAAUGACAUUUUGUUACGGAAGUCCUUGGACAGUAAAAAUGACGGAUGCAUGUUAAGUAUAGUUACAGUUUUCAUCAAUGUAAGUGAACCGUUGUGCUAUAUACACCUUACAUACCAGGUUAGAGCACAGCUUUUCAAAAACUGAUUUUGAAACCUGAUCACGUCAAAUAUACUCACUCCCCAAAUCUCUGCUUCUACCCCGUGAAACAAAUUGCUUCAUUAAAACCUGGUUGUUUCUAAACCUAACAAAUCCCCUUGUUGUACAUGGGCUCUAAAUAGUUAGUGUGUUUUAGAAUUUUCAAAAGUGAUCCUAGCACGAAUUUCAGUGUUCUGAGUACAUUGGACGAGGGGUGUUUCGUGGUUUGGCUCACUUGCGAGAAAGAAGCCCAGCGUUUGUUGAGUGCCUACUGUGAGCCAGACGCUGUGCUGUCUUUAGAUAUGUCCUCUUGUUUCAGCUGUCGAACAGCCAUGUGCCAUAGCUGUCAGUCAUGUCGCCAUUUUACAGAUGAGAACACCAAGGAUCAGAGAAGUCGAGUGAUAUUCCCAAGGCCAGUAAGUGGAAGACCAGGAAUUAAACCCAAAUUGUCUGGUGUUCUCCCCACGGUGCCACCCGCAGAAAGGAAGGGUGUGGACAGACAGGCCCACUAGCUGGCACUGGGGGGCAGGUGGGUCAGCCUGGCUCUGAGCUCACGGCACAAAGCCCUUCCCAAAGAACAGCUCGUGGGCAGGCUGGCCAGCCCAGGAGCAGGCUUUCCUCUCAAUUUUUGGUUCUUGUAUAAAAGUGUUCACAUCAGGGUUUCAGGAACAGAGGGUCGGGGCCAGCACAUUGCUCAUGCAUUUUCUUUAAACCAAUAGCAACCUGGCAACUGUAUUUUCCAAGUCUGGCUAGACAGAUCAUUCUAUUUUGCUUUGUUACUUGCAAGGGAGUAUCCUGCCCUUUCACAGACUCGGUGCUGGGUGGCAGGCUACAUUUAUAGAGUGUUCUGGAUAAUGAGGUCAGGCAAACAUUUGAAGAGACAGUUCACAGACUACAGGGACACCACUGUCUUUUUCCAGGGCAAUCUGGGAAAAGAAAUUGGAUGCUGGACCAGACAACGUCUGCGGUUCCCUCUGAGUUGGUGAAGCGCGCCAGCGCCUGGCUAGCGGGGACGCAGCUGAAGAAAGAACUGUAACGAGGGGAAGGAGUUGAAGACCACGAAGGUGAAAGAGGUGACCAGUCGCCUCUCUGAAAUCACAGCCGCAAUCUUGUCAGCCCUCAGUCUGUGGAUUGUCUGAAGAUGACAGGAGUGCCUUCAAAUAGCCGUGUGUCCUCAGGUUUUCUUCAUUACCUGGAGCAUCAGGGCCCCUCUUUACAGUGAGUGCUCUGCACACCCCAUUUGAAGGCUGUUGUCAGAAACAAGACUGCAGAAUGGUACUCAAGUGAUUCUGCCGCCCCCACCCCCAUGUAGCCUUCCUUGAUCUCUCCCUGGUCCCAUGUCAUGCUGACACAGCCCUUCCAUCCACCCCAGUAUUCCCACUCAGCCCGGCCUAGGUCUCCCUAAUCUUGUUUGGGUAAGGCUGUGUCCAUUUCUGGGAUUUGUCCUUAAUUAAGCAAUGUCUUGCCUCUUCUAGGUUUUCUGCUGGGCCUGUUCUUUCAAAAAAUGUCCCCUCUUCAGAAAGCUACUUAUAUGGCCACUUUUUUUUUUUCUUUAGAACUAUCAAGAAAAUUGCUCGUAUUUUCAUUGUGCUCACUUGCAAAUUUUAUUUUUAGUAUUUUCAUUUUUAGAACAUCCCAUCCCUGUUGAACAUAUUAUUCUCUUUGGGGGUGUGUAGCCGUAGACUCCUAUCUGUCUUCCCUGUGGACUUAAAAACAAUUGUAUUUGAGCAUAGUUGACCCACAGCACGACACUAGUUUCAGGUGUACAACAGUGAUGCAACAACUGUGUGCGUUGUGCUGCGCGCACAUGUGUAAACUCCAUCUGUCACUUCACGAUGCUAUUAAGAACUCUUAAAAUUUGUUUUCCUAGAGUGGAAAUAGAUUUGCUCAUUCAUCCAGUUAAUAUUUAUCGAGCAUCUACUGUGCAACAGGCACGGAGAUCACUGAAUAAGCGGAUCCACACCCUCAUGGCGCUCACAAUCCAGUGAAGUGCAGAAAGAUGUUUUUAUUAAAGCCUGGGGACAGGACCCAUGGGCAGAAAGAGCUGCCAAGACCAUACCAUGACUUUUCAACCAUUUGUCUAUUGAUUGAGCUCGUGGAUUGUGAUAACAUGAACAAAGCCAGUGACGAAAAGUGUCAGGUUGCAGUACCUUUUCCCAUGAGAGGGAAGACAGAAGCAGAUAAGAAACAAGUGAUGGAUAGAUAGGAAGCUCUCCAAAGAAGAUAAACGGAUGUCCAGUAAGCACAUGAGGAGACGUCCAUCAUCCUCAGCCUUCAGGGAACUGCACAGCCAAACCACAAUGAGAUACCCCUUCACACCCACUGGGACAGCUCUAAUUAAAAAAAAAAAAAAAAAAAAAAAAAGAGGGUCAAAAACAGGCAUUGGCCAGGAUGUGGAGAAAUGAGAACUCCUACACCACCGGUGGGAAUGUAAAACAGGGCCGCCAACUUCAGAAAAUAGUCUGGCCCUUCCGCAGUUCUACUCCUAGAUACGUACCCAAGAGAAAUGUGCACAGCAGCACAAUUCACAAUGGCUGAAGGGUGGAAGCUACCCAAAUGUCCAUCAAUAAUGGAUAAAGAGAACACGGGAUUUCCAUAUAAUGGGAGACUGUCAGCCAGAAAAGAAGUGAAGUAUUGAUGAAUGCUACUGCGUGGAUGAAUCUAGAAAUAUUAUGCUUAAAAGGGAAAGAAGUCAGAUGUGAACAUUCACAUAUUGUGUAGGAAAUACCCGGAAUAGGCAAAUCUAGAAGGAUAGAAAGGAGGUUAGUGGUUUCCAGUGGCUGGAGGACUGGGGAAUUGUGGGGUGAGCGCCAAGGAGUGUGGAGUUUCUUUGGGGUAUAAUAAAAAUAUUUUAAAUUGGGUUUUGGUGAUGGGUGUACAGCACAACUUUUGAAUAUAAAAAAUAUAUAAAUUAUAUAUAUACUUUAUAUAUAAAUAUAUAAAA